AGCAGCAAGGAAUCUUCGGCAAUGGGCGCAAGCCUGACCGAGCAACGCCGCGUGGAGGACGACGGCCUUCGGGUUGUAAACUCCUUUUCGUGGGGACGACCGGGACGGUACCCACGGAAUAAGCCCCGGCUAACUCUGUGCCAGCAGCCGCGGUAAGACAGAGGGGGCAAGCGUUGUCCGGAUUUACUGGGCGUACAGCGCGCGCAGGCGGCUCGCCAGGAACCCGGUGACAGUCUCCCGCUCAAUGGGAGGAGGUCUGGGUUGACCGGCGGGCUGGAGGCCGUGAGAGGGUGAUGGAACGCCCGGUGGAGCGGUGAAAUGCGUAGAGAUCGGGCAGAACACCAGUGGGGAAGCCGGUCACCUGGCACGGACCUGACGCUGAGGCGCGACAGCGUGGGGAGCAAACGGGAUUAGAUACCCCGGUAGUCCACGCCGUAAACGAUGUGGAGCAGGUGUGGGGGCGUGAUUGCGCGCUUCCGUGCCGCAGCUUACGCGCUGACUCCACCGCCUGGGAACUACGGCCGCAAGGCUAAAACUCAAAUGAAUUGACGG
rnacentral:rRNA from 1 species